rnacentral:rRNA from 1 species
UACGAAGGGGGCUAGCGUUGCUCGGAAUCACUGGGCGUAAAGCGCACGUAGGCGGUUUGUUAAGUCAGGGGUGAAAUCCUGGAGCUCAACUCCAGAACUGCCUUUGAUACUGAAGAUCUUGAGUUCGGGAGAGGUGAGUGGAACUGCGAGUGUAGAGGUGAAAUUCGUAGAUAUUCGCAAGAACACCUAUGGCGAAGGCAGCUCGCUGGGACGUUACUGACGCUGAGGCGCGAAAGCGUGGGGAGCAAACAGG